AACGAACGCUGGCGGCAUGCCUAACACAUGCAAGUCGAGCGCCUGUAGCAAUACAGGAGCGGCGCACGGGUGAGUAACGCGUGGGAACCUGCCCUUAGGUUCGGAACAACCGCGGGAAACUGCGGCUGAUACCGGAUGAUGUCUUCGGACCAAAGAUUUAUCGCCUUUGGAGGGGCCCGCGUCGGAUUAGGUAGCUGGUGAGGUAACGGCUCACCAAGCCUGCGAUCCGUAGCUGGUCUGAGAGGAUGACCAGCCACACUGGACUGAGACACGGCCCAGACUCCUACGGGAGGCAGCAGUGGGGAGUAUUGGACAAUGGGGGCAACCCUGAUCCAGCAAUGCCGCGUGGGUGAUGAAGGCCUUCGGGUUGUAAAGCCCUUUCGGCGGGGACGAUGAUGACGGUACCCGCAGAAGAAGCCCCGGCUAACUUCGUGCCAGCCGCCGCCGUAA
rnacentral:rRNA from 1 species